rnacentral:rRNA from 1 species
UACCGAGGGUGCGAGCGUUCAUCGGAAUUCCUGGGCGUAAAGCGCGCGUAGGCGGCUUUGCAAGUCGGGUGUGAAAUCCCCAGGCUUAACCUGGGAACUGCAUUCGAGACUGCAUUGCUAGAGUAUGGGAGAGGGAAGUGGAAUUUCCGGUGUAGCGGUGAAAUGCGUAGAUAUCGGAAGGAACAUCAGUGGCGAAAGCGACUUCCUGGACCAAUACUGACGCUCAUGUGCGAAAGCGUGGGGAGCAAACAGG